rnacentral:rRNA from 1 species
CGUACACUCCUGCGGGAGGCAGCAGUGGGGAAUAUUGGACAAUGGGCGCAAGCCUGAUCCAGCCAUGCCGCGUGAGUGAUGAAGGCCCUAGGGUUGUAAAGCUCUUUCACCGGAGAAGAUAAUGACGGUAUCCGGAGAAGAAGCCCCGGCUAACUUCGUGCCAGCAGCCGCGGUAAUACGAAGGGGGCUAGCGUUGUUCGGAAUUACUGGGCGUAAAUCGCACGUAGGCGGAUCGAUCAGUCAGGGGUGAAAUCCCAGGGCUCAACCCUGGAACUGCCUUUGAUACUGUCGAUCUGGAGUAUGGAAGAGGUGAGUGGAAUUCCGAGUGUAGAGGUGAAAUUCGUAGAUAUUCGGAGGAACACCAGUGGCGAAGGCGGCUCACUGGUCCAUUACUGACGCUGAGGUGCGAAAGCGUGGGGAGCAAACAGGAUUAGAUACCCGUGUAGUCCCA